GAUGAACGCUGGCGGCGUGCCUAAUACAUGCAAGUCGAGCGAACGGACGAGAAGCUUGCUUUUCUGAUGUUAGCGGCGGACGGGUGAGUAACACGUGGAUAACCUACCUAUAAUACUGGGAUAACUUCGGGAAACCGGAGCUAAUACCGGAUACUAUUUUGAACCGCAUGGUUCAAAAGUGAAAGACGGUCUUGCUGUCACUUAUAGAUGGAUCCGCGCUGCAUUAGCUAGUUGGUAAGGUAACGGCUUACCAAGGCAACGAUGCAUAGCCGACCUGAGAGGGUGAUCGGCCACACUGGAACUGAGACACGGUCCAGACUCCUACGGGAGGCAGCAGUAGGGAAUCUUCCGCAAUGGGCGAAAGCCUGACGGAGCAACGCCGCGUGAGUGAUGAAGGUCUUCGGAUCGUAAAACUCUGUUAUUAGGGAAGAACAUAUGUGUAAGUAACUGUGCACAUCUUGACGGUACCUAAUCAGAAAGCCACGGCUAACUACGUG
rnacentral:rRNA from 1 species